UGACGGCAAGUUACUUCGGGACUGAUAGAAUCACCACAAAUUGAGAUGAGGCAUUCAAGCGGGCUGGACACACUGACACUCGAGCAGUAGGAUCCCUUGAACUGAAGAAAUGAAUAGGAAGAUACAUGCAAUUUAAGAAGAACAUUCAUCAUUAGUACUUGAAGAGACUUGCCUGGUUGGGGCAGAACAGGAUCUGCUAUAGUGCAUGUUACUUGACUGCUCACUGUACGACUUCAAUAAAAUCAAGGUCUUUUCCUGAUGCAAGAAAAUGUUUUCUUGCUGCAAUGAGGUAUGUGACAAUGUGCGGGAAGGAGAAAUUCACUCGGUAACAACACCGAUGCUACGGCUUGCAUGCUGAGAGUUGAGACCUGGUGAGCUUACUCGUACUAUUGUGUGAUGUGUUAACUUACUUUUGUAGUUUCUAUAUGCCAACAUAUAUCAUGCUGUUUUAUGGUUAGUAGUAUUUCAACAUAAUUUUUCUAUUCAUGCAUUGAAGCAAAACUGCAGUUAGUUGCUACAGAGCUAGGAGAUCUUGGUGUAUAAUAAAAUAUAUUAAUAUGGAGGGGUUCCUUUGUCACCUGAUUUGAUAAGGUAUAUAGUACGGAAGUUUUUUUAUUUCAUAAUCAUAUUCUUGAUGUACUGUUUAACGUAUUUUCUUUUCAGAGAUUUGCCCUUCAAAUUUUCUUGUGAUAGCUAAUUGCCUUUCUAUAAAACUCUUUGUGCGGAUUAGUUGAUAUGAUCAAUGGUCAAACUGUUUGAGUUUCAAAAUCAUUUUAACAUUUCAAAUUUGGGGGUUGUAUAUAUACAACCGGAUAUCAUGUGUAUCAUGCAUAGCGAUCUACUUUGUUCUGUCUGUUAGCAUUAAUUAAUGUCUACUUCUUGAUUAUAUUUGAUAUACUUCAGAUAGUGAGCAUGAUUGUGGGGAUGGUGCGUAUGAGGAUUUUUUCCCCUUCUCCCAUUGGAACACACAGGUAUAUUUGGGUUUAUAAUAUGGGUUGUUGCCCCAGUUGCUUUUGCUUGGCGAUAAUGGCAAUGCAGUUAUCACCAUGUUUGCACCGUUCUUCACAUGCACAUCCCUAGGCUCCUUAU